UAGGCAGAAGACCAAAAGAGUGACCCACACAUUCAAAGUGGCUCCCGCAGUGCUGUCUUGUGCCUGCUCGAUCCUGCAUGCAUAUACGUGCUUUUGGCUUCCGAGUCGGAUUGUGGCACUCGCUGCUAAAGCUAAUUCAACGUUGCAAGGCUGGGAACGGCACCCAGCGUGCCAAGCCUCGGGAGCACGCAGAUGGACACACGUGAGCUGCCUCCGAGAGCUGGAAGCGCUUGAGCUAUUGAAGGACCAGCACCUUAUUCAAGCACAUCCUAUGUAUUUUGCAAGUAACUGAGAAACUCAAGACAACACAGGAGGAGAAGGAGGUUUGGGCUUAAAAUUCUUCUCAUUUCCUCUCAAAAUCCUGCAGUUUUCUGAGGUGUAGUAACAGCAGCAUUGUAAUGAGGAAAAACAGGGAGACAGGAGACAUGAGAAACUAAUGCUUUACAUUUUUAACUGUAUUUAUGGCACAGUCUUCCAGGCUCCUAUUAAUACAAAGGUUUUUUAUUUCAGUUACUGAUUUCCACAAAACCAUUUUCAUGAAUACAGAACACUGUUUUAUAGGGUAUGUCUCCAAUAAGAAAUAAUGCUUACUAAUGAUAUAUAAAAUGGGCUUUCAAAACUAUUUUCUAAAGCAGCAGUAACCUAGAGAGGCAAAAUGUUUUUGGUCUGUAUGGCAGCCAUUUGCUCACUGGCAGGUAUAUUACUUAGAAAGCUUCAGUUCAGUCUGUCAUCCACAGAACUUCCUAACACACCAGCAUGACUCUAAAUACAUGUUACUCUGAAUACAGAUAGCGCAAUAGCUGAUUGACCUUAGUAUUGAGUCACACUUUAAAUUUGACAGUCACAGUCUGAGAUGAGUCACUAUAAUUUGAGUACUAUACUUCCAUGACAGGCUCUAAAGAAAAAAACAAAAACGAAAAACCAACCGCAUGACGAACAGAUCAAAAAU